ensembl:lncRNA
UAAAAGUAGGACAAAGUCGGAAGCUUUAAGUUAUAGUCAUGCCAGGUUGUGGAGUUCUUCCUUGGACUGUCAACUCUUCUUUGUGUGGAAUUAUGUUUUACAAGUUUUUGGAACAACAGAAGAACCCAAUACAGACCUUUAUUAGCCUUUUUUGCUAGGUAUGGGCCAUAGACAGUCUAUGGUAUGAACGCUAGCUAAUGAAGUAGCAUAUUAAGCUAUACGCAUAGCCUGUAUGGAAUGAAUGGGCAGUUGACCACCGCUUACCGAACAAAGCUUACCGAGUGGAGUGAAAACCAGAUAUCGCUCUGAACUGCCAGGUUCCUUUCGCCACUUUGAAGGUGUAGGACAGGACAGGGAGUUUCUGGUGCCACGAGGUUUCCAUGAAAGCCCGGACGUCACCUCCAUGGUCACAAGCUGACAGGCGAAGGUCACAUCUGGAGCAGGCCAGCUCAAAGCUUUUCUCUCCAUUUUUCUUUGAUUCCUUCAAAGUCCCAAAACUGGACGAACACUCCUUGUUUCUAGAUGACAUUCUGGAUCUCACCGGGGGAAUCGAGCCUCACCAAGUCUUGAACGGAUUCCAAGGUGACAUUUUCAUCUGAGCCCUCUCCUCACAGUGGACUUCUCUUUUCCCCCUUCAGGAUUUCUGCAUUGUUACCAGCAGAGGUGCACAAAUCCAGCCUCACGUG